CCUACGGGAGGCAGCAGUCGAGAAUCUUCGGCAAUGGACGCAAGUCUGACCGAGCGACGCCGCGUGUGGGAUGAAGGCCUUCGGGUUGUAAACCACUGUCAGAGGGGAUGAAAUGCAGGUGGGUACUCCCAUCUGUUUGACAUAGCCUCAGAGGAAGUACGGGCUAAGUUCGUGCCAGCAGCCGCGGUAAGACGAACCGUACGAACGUUAUUCGGAAUUACUGGGCUUAAAGGGUGCGUAGGCGGCGCGGAAAGUAGGGUGUGAAAUCCCUCGGCUCAACCGAGGAACUGCGCUCUAAACUACCGUGCUCGAGGGAGGUAGAGGUGAGCGGAACUGAGGGUGGAGCGGUGAAAUGCGUUGAUAUCCUCAGGAACACCGGUGGCGAAAGCGGCUCACUGGACCUCUUCUGACGCUGAGGCACGAAAGCUAGGGUAGCGAACGGGAUUAGAUACCCCGGUAGUCCUAGCCGUAAACGAUGAGCACUGGAUUGGAGGGCCCUCCAUAGCCUUCCGGUCGCAGCGAAAGUGUUAAGUGCUCCGCCUGGGGAAGUNUGGUCGCAGGCUGAAACUCAAAGGAUUGACGGNNGNGNGNGCGAGACGACGACGAGGAG
rnacentral:rRNA from 1 species